ACUUUUCUCUCUAUACUGGUGGUAAAAAGUGCCUGGGGAGGUGGUUUGCACUUGAUACCCACUUUUUCAGUGGUUAAAACUACAGGGGAGAAAUCCUGUCCUUGCUGUUCACACUCUGGCUGAGGAGGAAAGCUCAGCAUCACAGCUCUGAUGUUUUCAAGCUGGAGCAUGUUGGGAGAAGAAAAAGGUGCCAGGUCCUUCAUCAGUUCUUCAAAGAGGAGCCAGAUAUUUUUAGGUGACAGGAAAUAGAACAGUUUUGUGGAAUGAAUCAGCUGAAGGAACACUGGUUAUUUCCAUGAUCAGGGCUUUGAAUCCAUUUGUAAUGCUGCAUCCAGGACAGGUAACAUCACCUGCAAAACUCCCAUCUGGGACUGAGGCAACCUGGUAUGGAAAUCAAAAACACCUGUGCUGGAUGGAGCUUGGUCUGUGCCUGGAACAUUUUGGAAAGCAGAUGUAGGAAGUGACCACAGCAGACUGUGUGAGCA